rnacentral:rRNA from 1 species
AUUGAACGCUGGCGGCAUGCCUUACACAUGCAAGUCGAACGGUAACGGGCCUUCGGGUGCCGACGAGUGGCGAACGGGUGAGUAAUGCAUCGGAACGUACCUUUCAGUGGGGGAUAACGUAGCGAAAGUUACGCUAAUACCGCAUAUUCUGUGAGCAGGAAAGCAGGGGAUCGCAAGACCUUGCGCUGAUUGAGCGGCCGAUGUCAGAUUAGCUAGUUGGUGAGGUAAAGGCUCACCAAGGCGACGAUCUGUAGCGGGUCUGAGAGGAUGAUCCGCCACACUGGGACUGAGACACGGCCCAGACUCCUACGGGAGGCAGCAGUGGGGAAUUUUGGACAAUGGGGGCAACCCUGAUCCAGCCAUGCCGCGUGAGUGAAGAAGGCCUUCGGGUUGUAAAGCUCUUUCGGCCGGGAAGAAAUCGCACAGGCUAAUACCUUGUGUGGAUGACGGUACCGGAAUAAGAAGCACCGGCUAACUACGUGCCAGCCGCCGCAGUAA